GACAGAGGGUGCAAACGUUGUUCGGAAUCACUGGGCGUAAAGCGCGUGUAGGCGGCUGCGCAAGUCGGGCGUGAAAUCCCGUGGCUCAACCACGGAAGUGCACCCGAAACUGCGUAGCUGGAGUCUCGGAGAGGAAGGCGGAAUGCUUGGUGUAGAGGUGAAAUUCGUAGAUAUCAAGCGGAACACCGGUGGCGAAGGCGGCCUUCUGGACGAUGACUGACGCUGAGACGCGAAAGCGUGGGGAGCAAACAGG
rnacentral:rRNA from 1 species